rnacentral:rRNA from 1 species
UACGGAGGGGACUAGCGUUGUUCGGAAUUACUGGGCGUAAAGCGUGCGCAGGCGGUUUUGUAAGGCAGGUGUGAAAUCCCCGGGCUUAACCUGGGAACUGCGCUUGUGACUGCAAGACUUGAGUACGGCAGAGGGGGGUAGAAUUCCACGUGUAGCAGUGAAAUGCGUAGAGAUGUGGAGGAAUACCGAUGGCGAAGGCAGCCCCCUGGGUCGAUACUGACGCUCAUGCACGAAAGCGUGGGGAGCAAACAGG